GGAAUCUUCGGCAAUGGGGGCAACCCUGACCGAGCAACGCCGCGUGAGUGAAGAAGGUUUUCGGAUCGUAAAGCUCUGUUGUAAGAGAAGAACGUGUGUGAGAGUGGAAAGUUCACACAGUGACGGUAACUUACCAGAAAGGGACGGCUGACUACGUGUCAG
rnacentral:rRNA from 1 species